CUUGGCUUGUUUGUCUUCCCAAAAGCACUCGCCCCAGCAGGCAUAUUCUGUCUUAACAUUUGGUACUCUGUGGAAAAGGAGAUGUUUGGGAGGCAAAUGUAGCCUGUUCUCUGUACUCCUUCCUUUGUUUCAAUGCUCCUGUUGACUUUCUCUACAUAUGUAAAUGUAGAUUAGUUUUUGUAAAAAAAAAUUUAUAGAUCUAAUACCUUGUUUGUAUAGGCAAUUGGAAAGGGCCCAGGAAAAUACUCUUGGCCGGUUUCCUUUAAUAACCAAGCCAGAAGUGGCAGUUAUGUAGGAAGUUUAUUACCACCCUGGCCCUUCUACUGUCAGACAUCACUAAUAGAUCCCCGCAUGCUUUCUGACAGACACAGCCUCCGAAUCCUUCCUAAAACGUUCCAAGUAACUGCCACCAAUUGGUCAGAAUUGGCACACGAGAUGAAACCUUCCUUGCCAAAGCUGGUUUUGCAUAUUUCUAGGUGCGAGGAUCUCAUUCCGCCUUUUAUUUCUUCCUCAGCUCCUCAUGUGGAAAUGUAUCCAGGCCCCAAAGGCAGGAACAGGGAAGGGCUGGCAGGCAAAGCGAGGCAUUCUCGGCAGAAUGCGGAGCACAGAUAACAAUGUGAGGUGACCAGCUGGAGUAACGCGGAGUACACACUGGGAAGUCACAUGAAAUGAACAUGGAAUCAGAAGGAAGAGCUAGAUUGAGGACUUCAAAUGGAAACCCGUGAUCCCUUCUGCAAGGAUCUUCACCUGGGGUGUUUUAAAAUUUCUUUUUCUCAUUUCCUUUGCCCUUCUCAUGCUGGUAGUAUCUGAACAGCCUGUUCUCCUGGCUCUGGUUAAUUCUUGGUACUCUUGAAUCUCUCCUGACAGCAGAAAGCAGUGAUCAGACAGGUUGAAUGAUUCAAUGGAAAUGUAAUCUGAUCUCAUCUUAGCCAUAGGUAAGAAGCAACCUGCUGGGAACCAGAAUUGUAAUGCUGGGAAUUAUCUGAUUCCUGCAGCCCUCUCUUCUUUCUCUGCCCUGGUGAAUGAUGGCUGAGAUUUGAAAUUUAAGGCAUGUAAAACAUGGUAAACAUCGAUUUGUUGACUUGCCCAUUGAACCGGACAUAUUGCCUUCUUGCAGCUUUGGGGCCCGGUGCAAAAGCAAAGCAAAACAGCAACCAAAAAGCAAAGGACUCUCCGACAAUACAACACCUGAGCUGCAAAGAUGGACGACCUGUAGAACAGAGUUGACAUGAUGUGACCAGUCAGUUCCCAGAUGUGAAGGAAAGGAAUCCUCUGCAGCGGACUAAGGAAGGCCAGUUACAAUGCAGGGAAACCGAGAACUGGUAGGAAAAAGUGGAUAAACUUACAGGAGAAGAGAGAAAAACUGGACAUAAAAGUAUAAGGAACAGAAAACACAGGAAACUUUAGUGUUGGUGGUGACCCGUUACACUGCUGUCCCCCAGCGAUCACAUCUCCCUGUAUUUGCCCUUGUGUAGUCCUCGCUCUUUGAACUGGAAUAGGGCCCGUGACUCAUUCUGACUGACUAGAAAUGGUGGAGUGAUGCUGUACGCCUUCUUGUGUCUAUAUGGGAAGACUUAAGAAGUUCUGCUUCUGGGCUCUGAACCCCUAUCUGCUUUAUAAGGAUUCUGUUACUCUGCUGGCACUUUGUGGAGAGGCCAUGGGAGAAAAGCCCAGCUAUUCGGUGCCCAGCCAAGCCCAGGCCCCUGCUGACCGACAGCUGGAUGAAUCCAUAGAGUGGCAAGGUCAACAGAAGAGUCACCUGGCUGAGCCCAGCCCAGAUUACAGAAUUGUGAGCAAAUAAAAUGGCCAUUGUUUUAAGCCAGGAAGUUUUAGGCUGGUUUGUUCUAUCACAGAACAUAACCGUUGGGAUGAUAACGGAGAAGCAUCAAGGACCAAGGCCCAGGGACUCUGUUGUCUCGGACAGCAUGGUGUGGAGGGAAGAUUCAGGUCUGGAUCCACAGCAAGCUUGGGUCAUAGCCUCACUUUUUAGCUUUUUGCUCUGUGGACUGGGGCAAAUUAUUUAGUCUUUCAGGGCCUCAGUUCUGUUAUCUGUAAAAUGAGAAAAAUAUUUCUUCCCUCACAGGAUAGUUAAGAAAUGAAAUGAGUGAAAGUUUGGGGCACAUAUUAAGGACCCGCCAGACAUGAGUUCUGUUCCAUUUCCUCCUUACGGUUCCCUCCCUCACCCCCCACCCCCCAGGUCUGACCUAAACUGCAUUAACCCUUAAGGGUAGUCCUGUGCCCUGCUAAAGGUCAUUCUGUCAUAGGUUGGUUUUGCACUGUGUAUGUAGUUCAUAAACAACCACUACGUUUAUAUGAAAAAAAAGUAAUCCACGAAAUUCUAAGUGAUGGAUUUUUUUUUUUUUUUUAAUGAUGGUAGCUUCUGGGGCCAGUGUGCCUCUGUGUCUAUAUCCUGGAAUACACCUGCUCCUCUGGAGUACCACAACUUUUUAUUAGACUAAGCUUGGGCCAUGAAGGAACAUUACAUUCAGUUUAUUUUAUUGCAGAUGGUAGGAAGGCAUGCACUAGAUUUCCAUUAGAUUUUCACCAAAAAACUUCCUAAUGUUUGUAAAGUUCACUUAGGCAAAAAUUGCACAUUUUGAGGCAGCACAGGAUAAAAUUUGGUUCUUACUGAACCCCCCACCUUCAUACUAGAAGGUGAGUUAGGACCCUGGAAAGAUAGAAGUCCCAUAUUGAGUGUCUGAAUUAUGUUAAAACUGUGCAGACUCCAAGUUUCCAAGCCUUCUGAGAGAAAAUACACAUACAUCCAUACACUCACAUACACACAUGCACACACACGAAUGAAAGAGAGGACUAAGGAGAGAAGAAGUAAACCUGCCAUGACCUCAGUUUCCAAUUUGUAAAAUGAGAAAGCCAGACUAGAAGGUUCUCCAAAGCCAUUUCCUGCUCUAAGUGUAGCAGACAUCUCAAAUGCUGGACCUGUAUUAGCCCUUUGUGGACAGGGAGAUGAAGAACACGGGUUGCUCUCCAGCAAAACUUUAAUUGCAGAGCUUUAAUUAG